AAAGCUUGACAGACAAUCGCUGGCAGCUUCAGGCUGCGAGAGGAAAGUCCGGGCUCCAUAGGGCAGGAUGCUGGAUAACGUCCAGUCGGCGUGAGCCGAAGGAUAGUGCCACAGAAACGGACCGCCGAUGGCUUGCUCUCAUAAGGAGCAAGAUCAGGCAAGGGUGGAACCGUGGUGUAAGAGACCACGAGCGGCGUUGGUGACAACGCGGCUGGUAAACCCCAUCUGGAGCAAGACCGAGAGGAUGCAGAAGGCUUCGAGCCUUCACCCUGGCACCGGGGCGCAUCCGGGUUGGUCGCUUGAACCUGUUAGCAAUGACAGGUCUAGAUAGAUGAUUGUCGCUUUAUGGUGGGAGGGUCGUUCCCGUUAUGACCACCGGAAGUACAGAACCCGGCUUACGGCAAGCUUUCCGU
rnacentral:RNase_P_RNA from 1 species